ACGCUGGCGGCGUGGAUAGACAUGCAAGUCGAACGAGAGAAUUGCUAGCUUGCUAAUAAUUCUCUAGUGGCGCACGGGUGAGUAACACGUGAGUAACCUGCCCCCGAGAGCGGGAUAGCCCUGGGAAACUGGGAUUAAUACCGCAUAGUAUUGAAAGAUUAAAGCAGCAAUGCGCUUGGGGAUGGGCUCGCGGCCUAUUAGUUUAGUUGGUGAGGUAACGGCUCACCAAGGCGAUGACGGGUAGCCGGUCUGAGAGGAUGUCCGGCCACACUGGAACUGAGACACGGUCCAGACACCUACGGGUGGCAGCAGUCGAAAAUCAUUCACAAUGGGGGAAACCCUGAUGGUGCGACGCCGCGUGGGGGAAUGAAGGUCUUCGGAUUGUAAACCCCUGUCAUGUGGGAGCAAAUUAAAAAGAUAGUACCACAAGAGGAAGAGACGGCUAACUCUGUGCCAGCAGCCGCGGUAAUACAGAGGUCUCAAGCGUUGUUCGGAAUCACUGGGCGUAAAGCGUGCGUAGGCUGUUUCGUAAGUCGUGUGUGAAAGGCGCGGGCUCAACCCGCGGACGGCACAUGAUACUGCGAGACUAGAGUAAUGGAGGGGGAACCGGAAUUCUCGGUGUAGCAGUGAAAUGCGUAGAUAUCGAGAGGAACACUCGUGGCGAAGGCGGGUUCCUGGACAUUAACUGACGCUGAGGCACGAAGGCCAGGGGAGCGAAAGAGAUUAGAUACCCCUGUAGUCCUGGCAGUAA
rnacentral:rRNA from 1 species